AUCCCUUCUUUAAACAUACUCUCGUAACAUCAAGCGUAUCGUUCUUACGUAUUGUUCCUAACAAAAUAGAAAUUAUGAAAUUUCUCUUUGGAAUUUUGGUAAUCGUUGUAGCAACGAUUAUUUCCACUACUUCGGGGGCUCCUGAACCCAGUGCAAUCGAUCCUAAAGUAAUAGAAUCAUUGCUUGGUUAAAUGUAUACGAAGUGGAACGUGUCAAAAUAAUUAUAAAAUAAGAGGGCUACGCUAAUAUAAUUGAAAAAGCGAAUAUUUGUCAUUCUUGAUACAAUAUGUAUAACAUAGUAUAUGUAUGUUGCUAUCGUGAAAUAAACAUACAUUUACAUACAUAAAUAUAUAUUAAUAGUGAGUCAACAUUCAAAUAAACUUGGAACGUGACUGUAAAAUUAUAUGUGUCACGAUCUUUUGUAUUCAAUAUUUAUGUGAUUUUUUAUAUAUAACAAUCGGUGUUAUUUACUUACUUCAACAUAUUCUCACGUAAUAUCAAAGGGUAUCAUGCACAGCGCGUAUUAGCAAAAUGGAGGUUGCGAAAUCUUUCUUUAAACUUUGGGUAAUGAUCGUAACAAUGAUUACUUUCGUUACUAUGGAAAGUGUGGAAGACGAGAAGAAGAUUGAUACUAAGGUGAUACAAACAUUGCAAGGUGGUUAAAUAUGCAGGAAAUACGCAGUGUUUUCAUAAAGUAUCAUUAAAUACACACGAUAAUUACACUAAUUAAUGGAGCGAAUGUUUGACAGUCUUGAUGCAACAUAUGUAGUACAGUAUAUGCAUAUUGUAAUCAUGAAAUAAUAUAAUAAAUACAAA